rnacentral:lncRNA from 1 species
AACAUAAUCUUUGGGAUUCAACUUGUAAGGAUGUUCCAGGAACCACUUAGUUAGAGAAGGAAAACUGUGCCGUUCAUUAACAAGUCCUGUGCUUUAUAAUAUAUU